UGGGGAAUUUUGCACAAUGGAGGAAACUCUGAUGCAGCGACGCCGCGUGAGUGAUGAAGAUCUUCGGAUUGUAAAACUCUGUCCUUAGUGAAGAUAAUGACAGUAACUAAGAAGCAAGCCCUGGCUAAAUACGUGCCAGCAGCCGCGGUAAUACGUAUGGGGCAAGCGUUGUCCGGAAUUAUUGGGCGUAAAGGGUACGUAGGCGGUUUAAUAAGUCCUAAUUAAAUGGCUAUGGCUCAACCAUAGUAUGGUUAGGAAACUGUUGAACUUGAGUAGAUGAGGGGAAAGUGGAAUUCCAUGUGUAGCGGUGAAAUGCGUAGAUAUAUGGAGGAACACCAAUGGCGAAGGCAACUUUCUGGAAUCAAACUGACGCUGAGGUACGAAGGCGUGGGGAGCAAACAGG
rnacentral:rRNA from 1 species